GACGAACGCUGGCGGCGUGCUUAACACAUGCAAGUCGAACGGAAAGGCCUGCUUUCCCUUGUGGAUUGCGGGUACUCGAGUGGCGAACGGGUGAGUAACACGUGAGUGAUCUGCCCCCAACUUGGGUAUAAGCCUGGGAAACUGGGUCUAAUUCCCGAUAGGACUGCAGGGUGGUGCCUGUGGUGGAAAACGAUUUUCUAGUGGUUGGGGAUGAGCUCGCGGCCUAUCAGCUUGUUGGUGGGGUAAUGGCCUACCAAGGCGGCGACGGGUAGCCGGCCUGAGAGGGGGGACGGCCACAUUGAGACUGAGAUACGGCCCAGACUCCUACGGGAGGCAGCAGUGGGGAAGAUUGCACAAUGGGCGGAAGCCUGAUGCAGCGACGCCGCGUGGGGGAUGACGGCCUUCGGGUUGUAAACUACUUUCGACCGAGAGGAAGCCACCUGGUUGGAAGGGUGGUGACGGUAGUGGUAGAAGAAGCACCGGCUAACUACGUG
rnacentral:rRNA from 1 species